ensembl:lncRNA prothymosin alpha-like
CAAAGAGUGACAACAAUCUGUCCAAUUAAAAUUGCUAAAACAUGUUGCUUAAAUUCGGAUUGCCCAAUCACGUUUUCAACCGACCAGCUCCAUUCUAACUAAUGGAUUACAGUCGAGCCUAACAAACAGUUUUCAUCACUCUCUUCUCCUCUUCUCAGCCUCUCACAGAAAUCACUGCCAGAAACAUCGAGGCAUCAAACACAGUAUUUAUUUCGGAAACAUAUCAUACCCUUACAUUAAACUAAAUAUGGCUGAUACCGCAGUAGACACGACCACAACUAGCGAGAUUUCAGCGAAGGAACUCAAAGAGAAGAAAGAGGAUGUCGAGGAGGCGGAGGAGAAGGAGAACGGUAGCGGGGACGCACCAGCCAACGGCAAUGGAACCCACACAAACGGUGCAGAGACGAAGACAAAUGGUGCAGAUGAUUCUGAAGAAACCCCUGUGGGUGAGAAGGAAGAAGAGGAUGGAGAGGGACCGGAUGCAGCUAAGGAUGCAGAAGAAGUUGCUGGUGAGGAGGUUGACCACCCUGUGAAGUGCCCAGCUGAUGAAGGUGUUGACCAUCCUGUGAAGCUCCCAGCUGAUGAAGAGGUUGACCACUCUGUGAAGCUCCCAGCUGAUGAGGUUGACCACCCUGUGAAGCGCCCAGCUGAUGAGGAGGUAUGCUUUUGUCAGAUGAUUUUAAAACGCAGUCAAUAUAAUAGAUUAACUUUUACCAUGAGACUAUCUUUAUGA